GACGAACGCUGGCGGCGUGCCUAAUACAUGCAAGUCGAACGCUGAAGGAGGAGCUUGCUUCUCUGGAUGAGUUGCGAACGGGUGAGUAACGCGUAGGUAACCUGCCUGGUAGCGGGGGGUAACUAUUGGAAACGAUAGCUAAUACCGCAUAAUAGCAGUUGUUGCAUGACAACUGUUUGAAAGGUGCAAUUGCACCACUACCAGAUGGACCUGCGUUGUAUUAGCUAGUUGGUGGGGUAACGGCUCACCAAGGCGACGAUACAUAGCCGACCUGAGAGGGUGAUCGGCCACACUGGGACUGAGACACGGCCCAGACUCCUACGGGAGGCAGCAGUAGGGAAUCUUCGGCAAUGGACGGAAGUCUGACCGAGCAACGCCGCGGGAGUGAAGAAGGGUUUCGGAUCGUAAAGCUCUGUUGUAAGAGAAGAACGAGUGUGAGAGUGGAAAGUUCACACUGUGACGGUAUCUUACCAGAAAGGGACGGCUAACUACGUG
rnacentral:rRNA from 1 species